GGGAACUGAAAUUACGAAAUAUUUAUUGAGUUUAAGGCUUAUCACUGUUCUGUCUCAAUCCUACAUGUUUUACCUACUGCAAACAACCAUGUUUUUUUUAUCAGUGGUGCAUUACAAACUGCUGAGUCAUGCUGGAACUGACUGAAUCUUUCACAAUAAACACAAAAAAGUACAUAAACUGCCUAAACUUUAUUUCUCCAGUAUGUUCUGAUGAAUCUUGCUGCAUCUACUGGCACUAGGGAACACUGGAUCUACUACCAGCCUGAAGCCCCUGGCACAAUCCCACAAGCGGACAACUGCAGUGUAGUAAGGACCAGAAGAUGCCAUUUGUGUUACUCACUGUCAGUAACCCGACUCAGGCCCAGAACAUGUUCCGGUCUCAGUUCGUUCAAGCCCAGAAGCUCCUCUUCUCUAAACCGUGUGAUGGAGCUUUGAUCUGAGGUCCCGGAUUCCUUUCCCUGCACACGCCGAGCCUUCAGUCGGUUUAUCACUCCACCUCCCGAUUUCUUUCGCUCAUCUUUGGGCUGCCCAGCUAGAGCUUCCUCCCGGUUAGACCCGCUCAUUUCUCUUACAAAAUGGCGGUUGCCACCUCCGCUAGCGCCGUAACUAAGGAGAACGGAGCUGGGGGGAGGAGGCAGUUACCAGGCAACAGAAUCAGCAACCGGAAGAGGCUGGGAAA